rnacentral:lncRNA from 1 species
UGGCCUUCAGCUCAGUCGAUAGCCAACAGUCACCCAGAGAGCUGGGCCACCCGUUUGGAUCUGGCUCUCUCCCGGCUGCACGAUGACCAGCCUCACUAACCACCUAUCCAGCCCGCCAAGGAGCUGUGGGGAAUCUGUGUCCCUAGGAAGCAGGAGCGGUGGUCAGAGAGGUCCCGAGAUGGCCCCACUAGCCAGCCCUCCUAGCAUGGGAAUGGGUUCGCCCUUGAAAAGCUGGAUCUGCUCUACUGGAAUCCGGGAGAAACAGAAACUAGGCUCGGAAAACUCCCCUAAGCCAGAGAGAGAUCAAUCCCGUUCAUUCCUUUUUCCUUCCAGCUCUGACAAGGAUGGCCCACAGGCUCCCAAGCGUCACUGGGUCUGGAUCUCUUCUCUGGCUGCAGAUGACAAGGACCGUCAUGACGUCUGUUCCCAGGAAGAUUGGUUCCAUCUUGUCCAUCAGAAUCCCAGGGCCAUCCCAGGUUCUCCCGGGUACUCAACCAAUCACCGUGAAUGAGCUAGAGAUGACUUUCCAGAGAUUCUUUGUUUCUCAGCGGUCAGGCCUGGAGGUCCCCACACUGGGCUGGAUGGAUGUCUCCUCCCUGAAGUCGGACCAAGUGAUCGAUCCAUGUCUCCCCACCUUUGCAGCCCGGCCCAGCGCCAGAUCUGAGGACUUGGCUCUCAUCUCCAUGAUCUCCUCUUCCCCAGCUGUCUCCAUCCACAAGCUGCAGCGCCCUCGACUUCCCAGAAGAAGUUUGGCCCGACCCCUCCGGAGGGCUCGUCGACGCCUGUGCUGGGGUGGAUUGCUUGAUACUUGCUUAGUCCUUCUCACUCCUUAGUUCCAUGGUUUAUCUACUAAGCCACACUCCCCAAAAGUCAAGCAGGGACCUUCACUCCCUUGUAAAUGGGCCUUCUUGAAACUCCAAGUUCAUUCUCCAAAUCCUAGUACCUGGGAACCCUGCCCACAAUAUUUAGUUGAUCAGACCGUGGGACCGUGGCCUGGGAGUGAGAAGGCCCUGACUUACUGGAUUUAAAGAUGUACUUAAGGAUUUACAGACUUACUUUACCCUCCUCAUUUACUGUAUCAGACCAUGUCACGCUCUCUGUCCCUGCCCUUUUCUGCACAGCUCAUGAACUGAACUAAUUUGCAAAGAACUCUAGGGCCUGCAGGGUAGUCACUUCCUGCUCCGCUGUGAACUAACGGCAGAUUCCACGGUCCAAGGCUGAAGAGCCAGGACUCUUGAAAGUCUCUCCCUCCCCUGUACCUUCGCUUUUCUUAUACAAUUCCUGGGUAAUUUUGAUAUCUAUACAGAUCCAAUAGCUCACUGCAAGCCCCUUCUGUUCACCCCAAGAGCCCUGCGAAGCUUUCACACAAGCACACUCAGGAUAUGAUGAUAGAACAUUAUCUGCUCCUGGUGAAGAACUUAUCUGGAUCACAAAAUUGUGUGCUUGAAAAGCAGGGACCGUGUCUACUUACUCUAUUGUACUCCAAAGUACAUAAUAAAGAGCUCUCCACACAGUAAGCACUCAGUAAAUACCACUGGUUGAAUGAUUGGUCUCAAACCCUGGAGAUAAUCAGGGUUUCCUUAAUAAUGCUUAUAAUAAUAAUAAUCAUGAUAGUAUUUGUUAAGUGCUUACUACGUGCCAAGCACAGUUCUAAGCGCUGGGGGAGAUACAAGGUAAUCAGGUUGUCCUGUGUGGGGCUCACAGUCUUAAUCCCCAUUUUCUAGAUGAGGUCACUGAGGCACAGAGAAGUUAAGUGACUUACUCCAAGUCACACAACUGACAAGUGCUGGAGCCGGGAAUAGAACCCACAACCUCUGACUCCCAAGCCUGGGCUCUUGUAUUAAACCGCUGCUACAAACAUCCUUCCACGGGGAAGCUUUUGACACUGAGAUUCCAGGGUGCGAUUCUUGCC